rnacentral:lncRNA from 1 species
UAUCAGAUACGAAAGUCCAGACCACGUGUACUUUGUUCUUCCUAACACAUUUCCAAGUCUACAAAUAGAAAAGAGUCCAAAGGAGCAGAUGACUAUUAACUAAUAUUCUUGCAAUGUCGUGCAAUUUUGGCAUUUCAUACGCAGUUUUCAUAAUAAUUUACAGGCAUGCAUUUCUUCAAAAGCAGACAGUGAUAUAACAUUGUGUAAAGCCCUUUGGAUGCCCCUCUCCUCAGCCCUGGAAUCUCUCUGAACUGUCCAUUCUCACUCUCCUGAUUUUUCGGGUCUGACCAGCACAACACAGAGUUGGGAACUUGCUGGACAGCUCAGCCUCGUCACUGGAGGGAACUGGAGGAGAUGUGACAUUCAGGGCAGAGCCAAUUAUCCUGCAGUGAACACUGCAGUCAGGUUAGCUGAACGUGGGUGUUCCCAGCGCCAGCCGGCAUCGGAUUCCAGCCCUCCCAGGGGACCGGAGCUCCUAGGCCGCGCUCUGACGAGGGAGACAGGCGUUCCGACAGCAGAGCAGCGCUAGCUACCAACCUCACCAGAAAACACAAGCUGAGGACAGAACCCCUGGCUAAAUAUAGAGCCCAGCUGGGAGAGAAAACAAUGUGGCAUUGCAGA